CAUAAAGUCGGCCUCUCCUCCUCCUCCUCCUCCUUUACAUCCAGGCAGCUCUACUCAGUUUGCAGUCGUCAUUAUAGUUUUGUUUUUAUCUGCGUUAAGGAUCAUGAUUAGACUCCUCGUACAUUUAGCAGCUCUACCGUUCUGUUUAACAGAACUCCCACAGAACCGUGUUCAUCAGACUCCUACUGCCGUGAUCAAACAUGCUGGAGAAGUCGUCGUGAUGAACUGCAGCCAUUCAAACACUAAUUUUAAUAUGAUCCAGUGGUAUAAACAGUCUGCUGGGAAAAAUGACAUGGUCCUAGUUGGCUACGUACAAUUCACUUCUGCAGUUGUUGAAGCUCCAUUCAAAGACACGUAUGAAGUGAGUGGUAACGGAGGAAGCCUGGCAAGUCUUCAUAUCCCAAAGCUGAGUGGAUCCGAGGACAGCGCGGUGUAUUUCUGUGCUGCCAGUAAAGCACAGUGCUGCAUUAACCCCAACGUCUUUAACAAAAACCCUCUCUGGUGCAGCCGGUUACACAAGCACACAAUUUACCACAUGAACGACAAAUAAACCACAUUGUGAAUGACUGAUAUCAAGACAGCUGGCUCGCUUUGAGACAGCUAGAUUCUUCUUUCGUCGUUAGGGUGCAGUGUUUCUCCACACA